rnacentral:lncRNA from 1 species
CUAGUGUUGGAUAGAUUGCCACCAUUUCUAAGAUUAAUUAACAGUUCUGGCCCUCCCCCCUCUUCCUUUGUUCUCUUUUUUGUACCUCCCUCAAAGUAGCCUCAGAGUAUAGACUUCGAGUUGAAACUCAGUCAAUGAGAAAUAGCCAUGUCCCCUUGCAUUAGCUGAAACGUAGAAGCCAUGGUGGUCAGGUGUCCUUGCUCUCUACCUUCUGCAAAGAACCAAAGUUUGCUUUGUAGCAAUAAUUAAAUUUGUAUGGUUAUCAUUGGUGUUUCAUCCACUUCUCUCUACAACAGUUGCUUAUUCUCUUCCCUUUCCCAGGUGACUUCACUAGCUUGACUCCCAGUAAUCCUGUAUAUGAGGGUAUAUGGCUUAGAGUGAGAUAGUAUACACAUAAGGCCCAGGCAGAGUACCUGAUCCAUGUUCAUUAAUUGCUGACUAUGGUUUCUGUUUCUGGCAGUCAUUAGACUAUAGUAUAGGUUAAGGGGAAAGCUCGGUUUGUAGAGUACUUGCCUGGCACAGGGGUGCAUACCUGAAUCUCAGCUCUUUGGAGGUGGAGUCACAAGGGCUGAGUUCAAAGUCAUCUUUAGCUACAUUGAACUGCAGCCCAGCCUGUACUGUAUGAGGUCACAAAAGACUAUAGAACACAAUGGAAGUCUGGAUGUUUCAAAUAAUUGUUGCUAGGCAUUAUUUUAAAAAGGUAGAAAAUAAAGAUUCUAGAAGGUAUUGGAACAUGAGGAUGGCAUGGCUUUAUGAAGUCCAUCUCUGUAUCCUUCUUUAGGGCACAUCUGCUUCCAGAGAGGGAAGAAAAAAGGCAGCCGAAGAGAAACCAAAGACCCAUAACGAAUGUGAGGGAGUGGGUGAUAAUCUGUUACCAUGCAGAGCAGUGGGAUGAAUUUGGAGCCCACUUGUAGGUAUGCCCUGAUGACUCUUGACUGAGCUAAGCAUUCUAU